UACAGAGGGGGCAAGCGUUGUUUCGGAAUUACUGGGCGUAAAGGGCGCGUAGGCGGCCUGCUAAGUCGAACGUGAAAUCCCUGGGCUCAACCCAGGAACUGCGUCCGAUACUGGUUGGCUUGAAUCCGGGAGAGGGAUGUGGAAUUCCAGGUGUAGCGGUGAAAUGCGUAGAUAUCUGGAGGAACACCGGUGGCGAAGGCGACAUCCUGGACCGGCAUUGACGCGUGAGGCGCGAAAGCUAGGGGAGCAAACGGG
rnacentral:rRNA from 1 species